GUUAUGGUUUUGGUUUCGAAAUACGCGUCUGGUAAUUCUAGUUUUGUUUUGAAAUUGUUUCUGGUUUUGUAUUCAAAGUUUUAUACGCCGUGCCAGAGAAAGUAUAUGCGUAACGUUGGUGGUGAUACAAAUAAAAUCCAGUUCCCGUUGAGCCAGGUUAUUUGUCUCUGAAGUACUGAAGCAAAAGAAAUUAGUGCUCUUUUCAAGGCGAUAUUUACCAACAAGGACAAAGGUAAGUUGACGAGAAGAGGCCCAUGGAAUAACAACUGAACAAGGAGUUAUGAGAUUAUUGUGUUUGAAAAGGCAGUAAGAAUGGACUCUGGAAAGCACAAAGAAAAGUUUAGGAUUGCAGAAAAACAAAAUAUUCAAUGUAACUGUAAUCGUCCGCUUGGAAAAGUCAUCUGUUGUGUGUGUAGUCAUGUAUGUCAGGGACGCAAGAGUCAGCCUUGCUCUGCCCAUCCAUUCACCAUACAUCUGAUGGAUAUACAGAACUGUCCAAAAUGCAGGUCGUCUUCCAUAAUGGAAUUUCAAGGCACGAGCAACUGAGCAACAGACAUGAUUGGUUGCGAUCCCGAAGUUGAUUGGUGUCUGAUAUCUGAAGUGACACAAAACGUUAUCUUUAUAUUGUUAAGAUUUUAUUGUGUUCAGUUUUAAGUUUGUUUUAUGCUUGAAUUUUUUUGGGAAAUAUUAAAUUCUCAUGUGUUUCACAGUAAAGUAAUAGCACAGUAAACUGAAGUUUAAGAAAUAGAUACUAAUUAUUUGAACGCCAAAUUUUUUUGAAAAUUAUUCUUUAAGUCAUAUUCUUUAAGUUUAUUUCUAGUGCAUACACGUAUCCCUGAACUAAUUUGCAUAAUAUUUCGUAGUUGAAGGCCAAGAUAAGCAUGUAUGGGACAGUGUUUUAGUCCUUAUGAUUUGUUAUUAAGUUUUUCGAAUUGCAGUUGUUCAACACUAACAGUUACUUAGAACAAAGCUUGGUACAAUUCAUUGGUAUACUUCAGUAAACACUGUUCAUACAAGUCAUGUCGGAAACAAAUAUCGUGAGCUAAAAAAAUAGCAUUUUUAUAUAAUAGAAAGUAUUCAAACUUAUCGUGAACCCUAAUAACCAUAAUAAACUAUACUAAAAGAUAAAGAUACAGUUGUUGAGGAGUUUGUGAGUACUAGAUUACUAGAUGAUGUAUAUGAAUUUAGUAAGAAUUACAUGCACAAAAAGUAAGUUCUGUAUAAUAUAUUCAAAAGCUUAUAUUAAAAUCUAAAAUAUAAAUAUUUUGAUAUUGCUUUUGAAUUUAAAAAAAGUCACGAACACUGUAACCAUGAUUUCAAACAACCCAGAAUAUUAAACGUAUUUAGAACAGGUAAAGAUGUUCGAAUUAAAUAAACUAGUUGCAUCAGUUAAUUGUUCUUGCUUUCACAAAAAGCUAAUUCAUGCACAUAUUAAUAGAAAAAAAAGAAUAAUAUUAAUUCGUGAGAUGCAAAUCAUAAGUGAUGUUAAAUAAACUAAAAUCAGAACGUUUAGACAAAUGCAAGUUUUAGUUACGUUAAAUAUGAAUAUAUAUUCUUUAGCAGAACAGACUUAAAAUAAAACAAGAAACUUUGUUUUGUUGUUAAACAUAAAGCUACACAUUGGACUAUCUGUGCUGUGCCCGACACGGGUAUCGAAACCCGGUUUUAGUCUUAUAAGCCUUCAACAGGAAAUACACAGAGAUGCCGUAUCUCUUAGGAGAUAAGUUGAUUGGUUUGUCAUUUUGAUGACACUAUUCCGCUAAGUGUUUUUUUUUUUUAAACUGAAAUGAUUAACAGCAUGCUCCGUGAAUAUUUAUAUUAGAAAAACUUGUGUAAUGUUAUUCUAAUUAGUGUGUAUAAAUACCAUAUUGUUAUUUGUUUAUCGUUUACGGAUAAAUAUCCCUUGGUUAUGAAGAAUCGACUAAGAUCGGUCGUUCGAAGUGUAUACUCAAGAUCAAUUAAGGUGUUUCUCAAAGCUAA